rnacentral:tRNA from 1 species
AGUGAUGUCAGCUAAAUAAGCUAUCGGGCCCAUACCCCGAAAACGUCGGUUUCAAGCCUUCCUUCACUA